UUAUUAUGCCGUCCUGUUUAUGAACUGUGCCUGGAAAGAGGUGAUAGAAAUAUGCAGCAAUAUGCAAAGGGAUGGGGGGGAGGGGGAGGGAGCAAAUGCUAGUUGCCAGGGCAACAAAGGGGCUAUUUUGGGCAUCGGAUUUUGCGGAUGAUGAAAAAACCAUUUUCUUGCGAUGCUUGGACUCUCCCCUCCCCCCGCUCCUGGAAGUGAUGAAUUCAGAGCCGAAUAUUUGGGAAAGGGGACGGCUUAAUUUCUUAAUUAAAAAUGAUGCUAUUUCCCCUUCUACCUCCUUUAAACAUGGAUGGAAAAACAAACCUAAGGGUGUUGAUAAGCAUUCUUGAGUGGAAGGCGAGCUUCCGUUCUGGUAGAGAGCGAUGUGUGAAUAAUUUACUAAUCUUCACUGAUCCCCGCCAUCUCCCCCCACCGCACACACCCACCUCUUUUUCCCUACACCGACUUAACUCUGAUAAACUCCCCGAGCAAAAUCCCCGAGCUCCGGACCUCAGCAAAAUCUCAAAACCCGCAGGUGUUUACAAGCAGCCUGAAUUCCAAUGAGUUUCUCGCCAGUUGGCCACCAAGGAGAUGGUUGGGGCUGAGUGGAGACCACAGCUCUGGGCACGGGCGUCCGCACGAACAAAGGAGAGGGACCCUGCUCCUGUCCCCCCAGCCACGCAGAAGAUUUCCCCGGGGAGGGGGCUUACCCUCUGCGGGCGCCGAGCCCCGCCCACAAGCCUGGCGUGUCCGCACCCACGGGGCGGCGUGCGCGCGCCCUCUGGAUCCGUGCCCGGGGCGGGCCAUCCGGAGCGCUGCGACCGUUUUCGCGAGGAGGAGGAGCUGGUGUUUCCACCUGGCCGCCUCCGGAUUGUUGCUUCCCUGGUUCUCCAGGAUCUGGAAGUGGCAGCUUGUGAUUUCAAUACCAAAGAGAGCCGAGGGCGUGCAGAGGCAGAGGUGAGUCCCUUUGUCUUUGACGCCUGGCGUGGCCGGUGGAUGCUGGUGGAGGAGAAACCGAUCAGUCAGUGGGGUCUGAAGUGAGUUUCUGCGGUGACAUUCGGGGUAGGAGACGAAAUUACUUCCCCCAGGGCAAGUGGCAGCGUUUGGCAUUUUGAAGGUUGGCAAUGAGAUAAAUGCAGUAAAAUAGGAACUCGCACAAAGCUUCCCUUUAGCUCCCUGGAACGGGGCUGUCUGUGGCAGGAGGAAAAAUGGGGGACAGGCUGGUCUGGCAGGGCUCGCUCCCAGGGGACAGCCUGCCCGUUAGGGACCAGAGAGAGCCAGGGAUCAGCCCAGAGUCCCAUGGGGUGAUAUUUCUGCUCCAUUUUAUCCCCUCUGGGACCACACGUUUGGGUCUGUGCACCUGUGAGUGGGAGCAAGUGAAAUCUCUUCCGCGGACAGAAUCACGGGUGUCAGGGGCACAGGGACGUCUCCUGCCUGCUGACAUCCGAGUGUUCGUGUUCCUUUGCGUCUCUGCUUUCGCACGAGUUUGGACCUGCACUUGGUCUCCAAAGCCGACCAAACUGUCCCUUUCUUCCCAUGGUUCCCACCCAGCCACCUCCACUAGCAGGGAGCCCCCAGAGACCCUCGGGUCGAUAAGCAACAGCGGACGCAGGGCUCUUCUUUUCAAGGAGUUAUGCCGGCUGAAUGUACUGCUUCCCCCACUCCUCGUGACAUCCGCAGAUGCCUUCAGACGUUGUCAGUUAUCCGCUGGGGCGCAAGCCUGCGCCUGGUUGAGGACAACGGAUGGAGAACACCGUUUCCCAAGGUGUAUUCCGGGGAACCGAGUCUCGUGGGACCCUGCUAACAGCUACUCUCCGAGCAACAACCAGGUUCCAGUAUGAGCUAAUUUGAGACACCGUGGGCUGGAGGAAGUUCAUCCGUGCUGGCUCUGCUCCGACCUCGUUUUUCCCGGCCUCGUGUGCUUUCCUGCGUACCCGCUGCUCCCACUCAUGCACAGCCUCCCCCAUGAUCAACACCCCCACCAGAGCGUACAUUUGUUGCAACGGAUGAGGCUCCGUGGACGCGUCCUAUCACCCAAAGUCCACAGUUUACAUUAAGCUUCGCUCUUGGUAUUGGACACGUUAUGGGUUUGGACCAAUGCAAAAUGACGUGUUUUCACCAUUACGGUAUCAUCCAGAGUAGUUUCACGGCCCUGAAAAUCUUCAGGGCUCCCCCCACUCAUCCCUCCCUCCUUGCCCUGCUAACCCCGGGCAGCCACUGAUCCUUCUACUGUCCCCAUGGUCCUGCCUUUUCCAGAACGUCAGACAGAUAGAAUCACACAGUCUGUAGUCUUUUCCGACCGGCUUCUUUCACGUAGUGAGAUGCAUUUAAGGUUCCUCCGUGUCUUUUCAUGGCUUGAUAGCUCAUUUCUUUUUGUGCUGAAUAACAUUCUGCUGUCUGGCUGGACCGCAGUCUAUUUAUCCCUUCACCUACUCAAGGGCAUCUUGGCUGCCCCCCAAGUUUUGGCAAGCGUGAAUCAAGUUGCUAUAAGCAAUCCACGUGCGGGUUUUUGUGCGGAGGUAAGUUUUCACCUCCUUUGGGUGAAUACCCUGGAACACGAUUGCUGGGUCGUGUGGUAAGAGUCUGUUUAGUUUCAUAAGAAACUGCCAAACUGGCUUCCACAGUGGCUGCGCCGUUUUGCAUCCCCGCCAGCGGUGAGUGAGUUCCUCCUACUCCAUAUCUUCACCGGCGUUGGGUGUUGGGCCAAUCUAAGAGACAUGUAGCGGUGUCUCAUUGUUGCUUUAAUUUGUAUUUCCCUGAUGACAUGAUGUAAAGCAUACUUCCAUGCUUAUUUGCCAUCUUAUAUCUCCUUUGGAGAGCUGUCAAAGUCUUUGGCCCAUCUUUAACUGGGCUGCUUGUUUUCUUACUGUUGAAUUGUAGGAGUUCUUUAUAUAUAUCAGGUAAUAGUCCCUUAUCAGAUGUGUCCUUUGCAAAUACUGUCUCUCAGUCUGUGGCUCGUCUCCUCAUUCUUUUGAACCUACUUUUUUGCAGAGCAGUGGUUUUUAAUCUUAAUAAAGCUGGGCUUAUCAAUGA